CGCCCUCUGCGGUGUACGUAACCGCUUUUGGUCCCUUGAACCUAUAUAUUCAAUGCCUGGGGGCCGCUAAAGCAGACGCUGUUGUGCAAGUCCGCCAUGUAGCGGAAAGCCUGAUGCGUCUCGGUGGCUCCCACCUGAACCUUCGGUUCAGGGCAAAGGGGCGGUACGGCACAGGCGGAGGGCGC
rnacentral:other from 1 species